AGCGAACGCUGGCGGCAUGCCUAACACAUGCAAGUCGCACGGGGGGGCUUCGGCCUCCCAGUGGCGGGCGGGUGAGGAACGCGUAGGGACCUGUCGAGGGGUGGGGGAUAACCGCGGGAAACUGCGGCUAAUACCGCAUGACGCCGCGGCGUGACAGCCGGGGCCAAAGGCGACGGCCGCCCGCCGAGGGGCCUGCGACCGAUUAGCUGGUUGGCGGGGUAGCGGCCCACCAAGGCGUCGAUCGGUAGCUGGUCUGAGAGGGUGAUCAGCCACACCGGGACUGAGACACGGCCCGGACUCCUACGGGAGGCAGCAGUGGGGAAUAUUGGACAAUGGGCGCAAGCCUGAUCCAGCAAUGCCGCGUGGGUGAAGAAGGUCUUCGGAUUGUAAAGCCCUUUAGGCGGGGAGGAUGGUGACGGUACCCGCAGAAGAAGCCCCGGCUAACUUCGUG
rnacentral:rRNA from 1 species